rnacentral:tRNA from 1 species
AAUUAAUGAGCUUGUACAGGCAUAUAUUUUGAAAAUAUAAAAAAGGAGUAAAACCCCCUAUUGAUUU